rnacentral:rRNA from 1 species
GCCAGCGGCCAUAUCACCCUGCAACUCAACUAGCAGCCCACUGAAGCUCAGCAGGUGUGAGCCUGGUCAGUACCUGGAUGGGAGACCUCCUGGAAAAACUAAAGUUACUACUGGAA